rnacentral:snoRNA from 8 species
UGAUGAUGUUCCUCCUAUUGCCUUCAGGCCUGACAUUAGGGUUUUAGGUCAUCAUAAAAUAAAAUUUGCUUUUUCUUCACUCAGAGAAUAUUAGGGUAACGGGAUUGUCUACUUAUUCUCUGAAUUUGCAGAGUCAAACACUU